rnacentral:rRNA from 1 species
AGCGAACGCUGGCGGCAGGCCUAACACAUGCAAGUCGAACGGAUCCUUCGGGAUUAGUGGCGGACGGGUGAGUAACACGUGGGAAUGUGCCCUUUGGUUCGGAACAACUCAGGGGAACUUGAGCUAAUACCGGAUGAGCCCUUAGGGGGAAAGAUUUAUCGCCGAAAGAGCGGCCCGCGUUAGAUUAGCUAGUUGGUGAGGUAAAGGAUCACCAAGGCUACGAUCUAUAGCUGGUCUGAGAGGAUGAUCAGCCACAAUGGGACUGAGACACGGCCCAAGCCUCUACGGGAGGCAGCAGUGGGGAAUUUUUCGACAUGGGCGAAAGCCUGACGGAGCCAUGCCGCGUGAAUGAAGAAGGUUUUAGGAUUGUAAAAUUCUUUCCCCGGGGACGAUAAUGACGGUACCCGGAGAAGAAGCCCCGGCUAACUUCGUGCCAGCAGCCGCCGUAAGAC